GACGAACGUUGGCGGCGUGCCUAAUACAUGCAAGUCAACUGAAGCACGGUAGCAAUACUGUGCGGAGGUGGCGCACGGGUGAGUAACACGUAGGUAAUCUGCCUUCAGGUCUGGCAUAACCCCGGGAAACGGGCUAUAUCAGAUGAUGCAGCGGCUUGACAUCAAGACAGUUGUUAAAGCUAACCGAGCAAUCGGUGGCGCCUGAAGAUGAGCCUGCGUCUGAUUAGCUAGUUGGCGGAGUAACAGCCCACCAAGGCUUCGAUCAGUA
rnacentral:rRNA from 1 species